UACGGAGGGAGCUAGCGUUGUUCGGAAUUACUGGGCGUAAAGCGCGCGUAGGCGGCUUUGUAAGUUAGAGGUGAAAGCCCGGAGCUCAACUCCGGAACUGCCUUUAAAACUGCAUCGCUUGAAUCCAGGAGAGGUGAGUGGAAUUCCGAGUGUAGAGGUGAAAUUCGUAGAUAUUCGGAAGAACACCAGUGGCGAAGGCGGCUCACUGGACUGGUAUUGACCCUGAGGUGCGAAAGCGUGGGGAGCAAACGGG
rnacentral:rRNA from 1 species